AUGUCGCGGACCACCCAAGGGACGCUGAGUUCCUCAACACACCCAUCCAGAACUACAACCAGAUGCAGCACAUCUUCUCCUUCGGGCUGGCAAAUGGGAAGCAUGCCAUGGGCUCGGGGGAGCCUCUUGGUUCUCCCAUGCCUGACUUCCCUGGGCCCGGACGUCGAGAUCCUUGAUGGCCCUGACAAGCCCGCUGCGAAGCCCUUCGACAAGCCAUUUGACCCCGUUGAUAGGAAGAGGAAGAGAGGAGGCCUGAUGGAGGAGGAGAUCAAUGUCUUCUGCAGCAUGACUGAGGCGGUGAAGGAGGUGGCAACAGCCAUCAGGGAGUGCAAGCCCCUCGACGUCCACCCUGACCUGUAUGGCGCUGUCAUGACCCUGGGUGGCUUCAGCGACGAGGCUCUCAUGGCAGCUCUUAGCCACCUGCUUGACAACAAGGCCCAGGGUGUUGGGUUCGUUGCCAUGGCCGACGCUCACAGGGUGUUGUGGCUCAGGAGCUGCCUGGGCAAGCAUUACUACUAG
rnacentral:rRNA from 1 species